UAGUGAUAUGUUCACAUCACUUAACUACUAUAAAAUGGAUUACUCCCAACAGUUAAUUAGAGGAUUAAUUAUGAAAACUGUUGAAAUAAUUAAGUAGAUGAUUGAUAGAAAGAAAAUGUUAGGAGACCUAUUUCUAACGUUGAAAAAAUGUGGACAAAACAAUACAGUUUUUCUUUAAAACAGUGGGACUCAGCAAUGUAAAACUGUGGAGAAUACUAUAUCCAUGUGGGAUUAACACACGCAAAAAGUAUAUCCAAGAAUUAUACACUGUUGGAAAACAGUGAUUUUAUACAAUAUCUCGCCAAACCUUCCUUCCACUACAUUUCAUCUCAUCCCGAUCAAUCUAAAACUUCAGAGAGAAAUCCUCAAUCCCAUCUCCAUCGAACCUCUCUCUCUAGCGGUUAACCACCGCUCGGCGCCGGCACCUUCUGUGGCUAUCAUUUCGAGUACAGCUGGGAGCUUAAAUUGUUGGACUGUCGGACUGGUCUCACCUCGACCACACUCUGGAAGAUGGAAAGGAAGACAAACCUCUACAUGGAGAUUGAGGAGGUGUCUGUUCAUGCUGAGCUGCGGCGUAUAUUGUGUUUCUACCAUGCCAUUGCUAGGCUCCCAUCUGAUUUCAAAUCAUAAUAACAUAUAUACACACAUACACCAUCAGUACACAAAAUCAGCUGCAUAUUUAUUCAAGGUAUCUAUUGAAGAGAUUGAGUAAGAGAGAGUUAAUAUUUAUAGAUGGAGAAAAGAUUUUUCUAAAAAUUAGAGAUUUCUUUGGGUCAAAAUCUCUCUAAUUUGCUUAGACUAACUCUUCUUUACAAAUAUGGUUGUGUUUAUAUAGAUACAGAUAUGAUUUUUGUGAAGAUUUAUUCUAAAUUGAAAAACUUUAUUCGAGCUCAAACUAAUGAUUUGGAAACGGGUAAAUACAGUAGAUUGAAUAAUGUCGUUUUGGGUUUUGAUAAAGGUCAUCGUUUAGUGUUUGAGUUUAUUAAGGAAUUUGCUUCAACAUUUGAUGGAAGAAAAUGGGGUCAUAAGGUCUUUAUUUGGUUUCAGAGUUGUUUCAAGAACAUUAAAUAGUAUUCAUAGUAGUAGUUUUUGCUCUUAGUUUUCUGCAUUGAAUUAUUAAUUCCAUAAUUGUAAGAUAGAUUGGUCUUAGUUUUUUUCUUAUAUAAUUUUGAAGAUAACUUUAUUAAUUAAUUGUGCUUUACUUUGGAGAGAUGUACUUUGACAGAGGAAACUUCUAUGACUCUACUUCCUUUGGUGAGUAUGCUUUUUGCCUUUUGCUAUCAUCUCUUGAUAGUUUUUACAUCUGCAAUGCUGCAAGUUUUAACUAUAGUUUCUCUAUAAAAUCUUAUUUAUCAUGAUUUUGAAUUUGUUGUAUUAUGAGUAAUUUGCGGCAUAAAUAUCUAAGUUUAAUUUUCGGUUGCAUAUAAAUACUUAAGUUUAAUUUUUGACAACAAGUUAUAUUUCUAGAACUGUGUAGGUAUUUAAUUGUUAAGUGUUAAGUAAAUUACCAUGUGAUAAUUCUUGAUUGGUCCAGGUUAAGAAUUUCUACUUUUUUUUUUAAAAAAAAAAAGAAAAAAUCAAUUUAAAUAUAUCAAUAAAAAAAAUGACACGUGAAUAGCAAUAGAGUUACAGAAAUAUAACUUAAGUGUUAUUACCGCUAAAAGUUAAACUUACGUAUUUAUUUGCAACCGGAAGUGAAACUUAGGUAUUUAUGCUGCAAAUUACUCUUGUAUUAUUUAUCAUCAUAGCAAUAGUUGAUAAUAUCUUAAAUGGGGUGAAUGUAAGGCUAAGGUGAAUUGGUUGCACCUUUGUACUAUUGAUUUAUUUUGAUUUGUUGGCUCCAUGGAGUAUUUAAAUAAACACCUUUUUAAUUGACUACAAUGUGAUUUGUGACGUUGAGAUGUACUUAUUCUUGCAUUGUAAUUGCUUUGAAGAAGAUCUGAAUUGGAGCAAGAAGAUGUGGAAGUGCCAAGCACAACUAUUAGAGAAAUUUCUCUUUUGAAAGAAAUGCAUCGUGGAAACAUUGUGUGGUAUGCUAAUAACUUGAAAGUUAGGUUGUUAACAACUUGUUUUAGUUUUCUUAUUUAUUUGUUCUUUGUGUACUUCUGUAUUGCUCCAGAACAAAGAAAGUUUAUUAUAUAUUCUAAUUGUAGAUUAUUCAAUAUAAAUUUAUGGAGAGAAGACGGAUUUUUUAAGGACCUUGAUUUGUAUACUGGGCAUGAUUCAUUGUGUAUUUUUUCUUUGGCAAUGACUAUUGAUUAUAACUAGUGAAUUAACAUCUGAGAAGGAAAACUUAAAUAUUUUAUUGUAGUUUUAGGGAAAUUGAUGUUAAAGAUUCAAAUUUUAAAUAAUAAACAAGUAGUCCUGUAAUUUUAUUAUUAGUCUUCCUAUGAUGUCAUUUCAGUCUCGAGCAUGUGGUGAAAAUCAUAGUUAAAUUAUGUUGAGAACUUGAAGCACUGGUGAGUACAAAUGCACAACUUUUGUUUUCCCAUUUUGCUUAUGUUAUCAGUUAUUUGAGCUAGGAAAUUUUCAAGCACAAGUGAAGCACAAGUUAUCAUGUACCACAAAGCACAAGCUGAAUUUAAAGAGAAGGAUAUGCAAGAAUAAGAGUUGCAUGGCGCGCUCGGUAAGGUUACCUUUUAAAAUUUAUCUUUUCAAUUGCAAGUUAUGUAUAUAUAUAUAUUUUUUAUACUUCAUUGUCUUCAGAAAUAAAAAUGCUUGAAUAUAGUUGGAGUUUACAAAACUA